rnacentral:rRNA from 1 species
GAGUGGCGAACGGGCGAGGAAUGCGUUUCUAACGUGCCCCAAGGUCGAGGAUAGCUCGGGGAAACCCGGGGUAAUACUCGAUGACCCCCAUGGAUCGCAUGGUUCGUGGGGCAAAGGCUUGCUGCCUUGGGAUCGGGAAACGCCCUAUCAGGUUGUUGGUGAGGUAACGGCUCACCAAGCCUAAGACGGGUAGCGGGUGUGAGAGCAUGACCCGCCGCAUCGGGACUGAGACACUGCCCGGACUCCUACGGGAGGCUGCAGCAACGGAUAUUGGGCAAUGAGCGAAAGCUUGACCCAGCAAUGCCGCGUGCAGGAGGAAGCCCCUCGGGGUGUAAACUGCUGUCAGGGUUUAGGAAGUUCUGACCAAACCCAAAGGAAGGGCCGGCUAACUUCGUGCCAGCAGCCGCGGUAAUACGAAGGGCCCAAGCGUUAAUCGGAAUCACUGGGCUUAAAGGGUGCGCAGGCGGAAUGGUCAGUGUCUUGUGAAAUCCCACGGCUCAACCGUGGAACUGCAGGGCAUACUGCCAUUCUUGAGGCCGGUAGAGGCCGCCGGAACUCUAGGUGUAGCGGUGAAAUGCGUAGAUAUCUAGAGGAACGCCAAAGACGAAGGUAGGCGGCUGGGCCGGGUUCUGACGCUCAGGCACGAACGCGUGGGGAGCAAACAGGAUUAGAUACCCUGGUAGUCCACGCCGUAAACGUUGUGCACUAGGUGCUGGAGGUUCUGACACCAUCAGCGCCGAAGCGAAAGUGAUUAGUGCACCGCCUGGGGAGUACGGUCGCAAGGCUAAAACUCAAAGGAAUUGACGGGGGCUCACACAAGCGGUGGAGCAUGUGGCUUAAUUCGAGGCAACGCGAAGAACCUUAUCCUGGGCUUGACAUGCAUGGAUUAACGCUGGGAAACCAGCGCCACACUCUUUGAGUGGAACAUGCACAGGUGCUGCAUGGCUGUCGUCAGCUCGUGCUGUGAAGUGUUGGGUUAAGUCCCUUAACGAGCGAAACCCCUGUCGCUAGUUACCAUCAGGUAAUGCUGGGGACUCUAGCGAGACUGCCGGUGUCAAACCGGAGGAAGGCGGGGAUGACGUCAAGUCCUCAUGGCCUUUAUGCCCAGGGCUGCACACGUGCUACAAUGGCGCCGACAGAGUGAAGCAAAACCGCGAGGUAGAGCAAAUCGCAAAAAAGGUGCCCCAGUUCGGAUUGCAGUCUGCAACUCGACUGCAUGAAGCUGGAAUCGCUAGUAAUCGCGUAUCAGCAACGACGCGGUGAAUACGUUCCUGAGCCUUGUACACACCGCCCGUCAAGUCAUGGAAGCCGGGAGUACCCGAAG